rnacentral:lncRNA from 1 species
GGGAAAGCCAAGAGAAUAAUGAUUAAGCCACACACAACCAGACUCACAGCCAUAGUCAGUCUCACAUUCUCACAAUGUUGACAGGCACUGUACUGACACAGCUACUAAAGCCAUCUGUUUACACACUGCUGUUUAACUAAAUAAAAUGGAUCGCAUUUAUGCACAAAUACACUAUAUGCAUUACUAAAUAAGCCUAAAAUAUUUAAGGCCUACAGUAUCUUAAUUCUUGCUUCUAUUGUACAGAGUCUCUCCAGCAUCAGAUACAGUGUUUGACAUGAGAUGAAGGCAGUGGAAUCUUCACACACAAGGAAAAUCCUAUUGUUGCCCACCUCAGACCUUCACCGGAUAAUGAGGCAAUGUGGGUGGAAGCAGCAACACAGUAGAGAUCCUGAGCAUGUUUGUAAAGGACAGAGCAGCCCGCUGGUAUUCUGCCAAACCAGAGCUCCAUGUGCUAUCAGGGUCUGGAGAGAGAAGCCCUUGCUGCACUGAAUGGAAUUGCUGCAAAUUCAUGCUUGUGUGCCCAAGAACAAACCAAAGGAAUGUUUGACUAUGUGUGUCGGUGAUGUAAAAAAAAAGAAGGAAUAAGAAAAUGACUAAGAAUGUUCUUUUGUGUAUAUGUUUGUGCUUGUAUUGCAUCUGAUAGAAACCACAGCAAAGUAAGCCUUGCCUUUGGCUUCUGGCUCAAAUGACCGGAUACAGGAUGUGAUAAAGCAUUUGUCUGCUAG